rnacentral:tRNA from 1 species
GUCCCCAUAGCUCAGUGGAUAGAGCGUCCGCCUCCGAAGCGGAAGGCCGCUGGUUCGAAUCCAGUUGGGGGCA